rnacentral:rRNA from 1 species
GGGCUAGCGUUGUUCGGAAUCACUGGGCGUAAAGGGCGCGUAGGCGGCUUUGUAAGUCGGGGGUGAAAGCCUGUGGCUCAACCACAGAAUUGCCUUCGAUACUGCAUGGCUUGAGACCGGAAGAGGUAAGUGGAACUGCGAGUGUAGAGGUGAAAUUCGUAGAUAUUCGCAAGAACACCAGUGGCGAAGGCGGCUCACUGGCCCGAUACUGACGCUGAGGUGCGAAAGCGUGGGGAGCAAACAGG